ACUGAUAUAUUCUUCUCAUAUCAGAAAACACACUAGCUCGAGAUGCUGCAGUGCAGAAGAUCGAGACUAUUAUCAAGGAACAAUUUGCACUUGAAAUGAAGAAUAAGGAACAUGAAAUUGAAGUCAUUGACCAGCGACUGAUUGAGGCAAGAAGGAUGAUGGAUAAACUUCGUGCCUGCAUUGUCGCAAACUACUACGCUUCUGCAGGACUUCUAAAAGUUUCU